rnacentral:rRNA from 1 species
UGCCAGCAGCCGCGGUAAUACAGAGGGUGCAAGCGUUAAUCGGAAUUACUGGGCGUAAAGGGCGCGUAGGUGGAUAAGUGUGUUGGAUGUGAAAGCCCCGGGCUUAACCUGGGAAGGUCAUUCAAAACUGCUUGUCUAGAGUACAGUAGAGGGAAGUGGAAUUUCCGGUGUAGCGGUGGAAUGCAUAGAUAUCGGAAGGAACACCAGUGGCGAAGGCGGCUUCCUGGACUGUUACUGACACUGAGGCGCGAAAGCGUGGGGAGCAAACAGGAUUAGAUA